rnacentral:rRNA from 1 species
UGGGGAAUCUUCCGCAAUGGACGAAAGUCUGACGGAGCAACGCCGCGUGAGUGAAGACGGCCUUCGGGUUGUAAAGCUCCGUGAUCCGGGACGAAAGAGCCUGAGGUAAAUAGCCUAAGGAAUUGACGGUACCGGAAAAGCAAGCCACGGCUAACUACGUGCCAGCAGCCGCGGUAAUACGUAGGUGGCAAGCGUUGUCCGGAAUUAUUGGGCGUAAAGCGCGCGCAGGCGGCUUACUAAGUCCAUCUUAAAAGUGCGGGGCUUAACCCCGUGAUGGGAUGGAAACUGGAAAGCUGGAGUAUCGGAGAGGAAAGUGGAAUUCCUAGUGUAGCGGUGAAAUGCGUAGAGAUUAGGAAGAACACCGGUGGCGAAGGCGACUUUCUGGACGAAAACUGACGCUGAGGCGCGAAAGCGUGGGGAGCAAACAGG